CUUAUUUUUGAGUGAAAUUUCACAUUGCAAUAAGACGUGUCACGGUACUUGUCUAUCCCAAAUUCAUGUAUUUGGUUUUGAUGUUAUAUUUGUUAUUCUCGUGGGAUUUUGUCUGAUGCUUGGUCCGUUUCUGUGUGUGUUACAUUUUAGUGUUGUGUCGUUGUUCUCCUCUUAUAUUUAAUGCGUUUCCCUCGGUUUUAGUUUGUUACCCCGAUUUUGUUUUUUUGUCCAUGGAUUUAUGAGUUUUGAACAGCGGUAUACUACUGUUGCAUUUAUUUAA
rnacentral:lncRNA from 1 species